CUAAGUUUGAUGGCGACCGGCGCACGGGUGAGUAACACGUAUCCAACCUGCCGAUGACUCGGGGAUAGCCCUUCGAAAGAAAGAUUAAUACCCGAUGGCAUAGUUCUUCCGCAUGGUAGAACUAUUAAAGAAUUUCGGUCAUCGAUGGGGAUGCGUUCCAUUAGGUUGUUGGCGGGGUAACGGCCCACCAAGCCUUCGAUGGAUAGGGGUUCUGAGAGGAAGGUCCCCCACAUUGGAACUGAGACACGGUCCAAACUCCUACGGGAGGCAGCAUG
rnacentral:rRNA from 1 species